rnacentral:rRNA from 1 species
GAUGAACGCUGGCGGCGUGCCUAAUACAUGCAAGUCGAGCGAACGGACGAGAAGCUUGCUUCUCUGAUGUUAGCGGCGGACGGGUGAGUAACACGUGGAUAACCUACCUAUAAGACUGGGAUAACUUCGGGAAACCGGAGCUAAUACCGGAUAAUAUUUUGAACCGCAUGGUUCAAAAGUGAAAGACGGCCUUGCUGUCACUUACAGAUGGAUCCGCGCUGCAUUAGCUAGUUGGUAAGGUAACGGCUUACCAAGGCAACGAUGCGUAGCCGACCUGAGAGGGUGAUCGGCCACACUGGAACUGAGACACGGUCCAGACUCCUACGGGAGGCAGCAGUAGGGAAUCUUCCGCAAUGGGCGAAAGCCUGACGGAGCAACGCCGCGUGAGUGAUGAAGGUCUUCGGAUCGUAAAACUCUGUUAUUAGGGAAGAACAUAUGUGUAAGUAACUGUGCACAUCUUGACGGUACCUAAUCAGAAAGCCACGGCUAACUACGUG